rnacentral:rRNA from 1 species
GAACUGCGAAAGGCUCAUUAAAUCACACCUAAUGUACUGGAUAGUUACAGUUACUUGGAUAACUGCGGUAAUUCUGGAGCUAAUACAUGCAAAACAGCCCCAACUCACGGAGGGGUGCUUUUAUUAGACUAAAACCAAACGGCUUCGGUCGUCCCAUUGGUGAAUCUGAAUAACUUUGAGCGGAUCGCAUGGCUUCACGCCGGCGACGUAUCCUUCCAAGGUGUGACCUAUCAACUGUCGACUGUGGCAUAGACGCCCACAGUGGUUUUGACGGGUAACGGGGAAUUAGGGUUCGAUUCCGGAGAGGGAGCCUGAGAAACGGCUACCACUUCUAAGGAAGGCAGCAGGCACGCAAAUUACCCACUGGCCAAAGGCCGAGGUAGUGACGAAAAAUAACGAUACCAGACUCAUCCGAGGCCUGGUAAUCGGAAUGAGCACACUUUAAAUCCUUUAACGAGGAACCAUU